rnacentral:rRNA from 1 species
AGAAUCAACGCUGGCGGCGUGCCUAACACAUGCAAGUCGAACGAGAAAGUGGAGCAAUCCAUGAGUAAAGUGGCGACCGGGUGAGUAACACGUGACUAACCUACCCUACAGUGGGGGAUAACUCCGGGAAACCGGGCUAAUACCGCAUAACAUCGUAAGAUCAAAGGAGCAAUUCGCUGAAGGAGGGGGUCGCGGCUGAUUAGUUAGUUGGUGAGGUAACGGCUCACCAAGACGAAGAUCAGUAGCCGGCCUGAGAGGGCGCACGGCCACACUGGAACUGAAACACGGUCCAGACUCCUACGGGAGGCAGCAGUGGGGAAUUUUGCGCAAUGGGGGAAACCCUGACGCAGCAACGCCGCGUGGAGGAUGAAGUCCCUUGGGAUGUAAACUCCUUUCGAUCGGGACGAUUAUGACGGUACCAGAAGAAGAAGCACCGGCUAACUCUGCGCCAGCAGCCGC